UGAGGAAUAUUGGUCAAUGGGCGGGAGCCUGAACCAGCCAAGUCGCGUGAAGGAAGAAGGAUCUAUGGUUCGUAAACUUCUUUUGCAGGGGAAUAAAGUGCAGGACGUGUCCUGUUUUGUAUGUACCCUGAGAAUAAGGAUCGGCUAACUCCGUGCCAGCAGCCGCGGUAAUACGGAGGAUCCGAGCGUUAUCCGGAUUUAUUGGGUUUAAAGGGUGCGUAGGUGGUUUGAUAAGUCAGCGGUGAAAGUUUGCAGCUUAACUGUAAAAAUGCCGUUGAAACUGUCGGACUUGAGUGUAAAUGAGGUAGGCGGAAUGCGUGGUGUAGCGGUGAAAUGCAUAGAUAUCACGAAGAACUCCGAUUGCGAAGGCAGCUUACCGGGGUACAACUGACGCUGAUGCACGAAAGUGUGGGUAUCAAACA
rnacentral:rRNA from 1 species